rnacentral:rRNA from 1 species
AAUGCCUACGGGACGCAGCAGUGGGGAAUAUUGGGCAAUGGGCGCAAGCCUGACCCAGCAACGCCGCGUGAAGGAAGAAGGCUUUCGGGUUGUAAACUUCUUUUAUUGAGGACGAAACAAAUGGCGGUACUCAAUGAAUAAGCCACGGCUAACUACGUGCCAGCAGCCGCGGUAAUACGUAGGUGGCAAGCGUUAUCCGGAUUUACUGGGUGUAAAGGGCGUGUAGGCGGGACUGCAAGUCAGAUGUGAAACCCAUGGGCUCAACACAUGGCCUGCAUUUGAAACUGUAGAUCUUGAGAG